ACGAGCUAUAAUCUCAUACACAAGAAAUCAGAGAUAGAAAAUCCCAGAUCAGAAAUUGAAAGAUGAAGAUGGUCCACUCUCUAUAUCUCAUCCUCUUCCUUGUUUUCAUAUCAGUGGGGGUGAUUGUGUCUGUAGCUGACGGGGCGAAUGGGGUCAGGCCACCAGAGCACACGUGUCAUAAGGCGAUUGGCUCUGGCAAGUGUGACAAGAUAAAAUGCACACAGGACUGCUCUAAAGAAGCCAAUGGUGUUGGAGAAUGCAAAGAUGUCAUGUGUAUGUGCACGUACUAUUGCCAGCAGCCACCACUGUAGUUGUCCCACUUUCGUUUUUCGUUGUGGGUGUUGUGGGGGGUGAUGUUUUGUUUCAUACCGAGGAUAUAAGGGCCUAAGGUUCAAGGCUAUAGUGAUAGUUUACCAUAUCUUUUUAAGUUGUGGUGUACGUACACGUCCUUACACUUGAGUUCGUGGCUAUCAAAUGAAU